rfam:Brassica rapa chromosome A9, whole genome shotgun sequence.
AGAAUAUAAGAAACCGUUUCUUAAUUUUUAACUAAAAAAACUAAGAACCGGCUUUUAAUUAAAAUAUUUAGGGGCCGGUUCUUAGCUUUUUUAGUUAAACAUUAAGAGAGAGUUUCUUAUAUUAC